rnacentral:rRNA from 1 species
AGAGUUUGAUCAUGGCUCAGAACGUACGCUGGCGGCACGCCUAACACAUGCAAGUCGAACGAAGUAGCAAUACUUAGUGGCAGACGGGUGAGUAACAUGUGGGUAUCUGCCCUUUGGCUUGGAAUAACACGAGGAAACUUGUGCUAAUACCGGAUAAGUCUUUACGGAGAAAGCUUUAUGCACCAUUGGAUGAGCCCGCACUUGAUUAGUUUGUUGGUAGGGUAAUGGCCUACCAAGACUGUGAUCAAUAGCUGAUUUGAGAGGAUGAUCAGCCACAUUGGGACUGAGACACGGCCCAAACUCCUACGGGAGGCAGCAGUGGGGAAUCUUGCACAAUGGAGGAAACUCUGAUGCAGCGAUGCCGCGUGAGUGAAGAAGGCCCUUGGGUUGUAAAGCUCUUUCGUCGGGGAAGAAAAUGACUGUACCCGAAUAAGAAGGUCCGGCUAACUUCGUGCCAGCCGCCGCGGUAAUAC